rnacentral:rRNA from 1 species
GAUGAACGCUGGCGGCGUGCCUAAUACAUGCAAGUCGAGCGAACAGACGAGGAGCUUGCUCCUCUGACGUUAGCGGCGGACGGGUGAGUAACACGUGGAUAACCUACCUAUAAGACUGGGAUAACUUCGGGAAACCGGAGCUAAUACCGGAUAAUAUAUUGAACCGCAUGGUUCAAUAGUGAAAGACGGUUUUGCUGUCACUUAUAGAUGGAUCCGCGCCGCAUUAGCUAGUUGGUAAGGUAACGGCUUACCACGGCAACGAUGCGUAGCCGACCUGAGAGGGUGGUCUGCCACACUGGAACUGAGACACGGUACAGACUCCUACGGGAGGCAGCAGUAGGGUAUCUUCCACAAUGGGAGGAGGCCUGACGGAGCAAAGCCGCGUGGGUGAUGAAAGUCUUCGGAUCGUAAAACUCUGUUAUUAGGGAAGAACAAAUGUGUAAGUAACUAUGCACGUCUUGACGGUACCUAAUCAGAAAGCCACGGCUAACUACGUG